ACGUAGUUUGACUCCGUGGCUACGAGGACGACGCUGGCGGCGCGCCUAACACAUGCAAGUCGAACGGAGCUUAGAGAGCUUGCUUUUUAAGCUUAGUGGCGAACGGGUGAGUAACGCGUGAGUAACCUGCCCUAGAGUGGGGGACAACAGUUGGAAACGACUGCUAAUACCGCAUAAGCCCACGGUACCGCAUGGUACUGAGGGAAAAGGAUUUAUUCGCUUUAGGAUGGACUCGCGUCCAAUUAGCUAGUUGGUGAGGUAACGGCCCACCAAGGCGACGAUCCAUAGCCGACCUGAGAGGUUGAACGGCCACAUUGGGACUGAGACACGGCCCAGACUCCUACGGGAGGCAGCAGUGGGGAAUAUUGCACAAUGGGGGAAACCCUGAUGCAGCGACGCCGCGUGAGCGAAGAAGUAUUUCGGUAUGUAAAGCUCUAUCAGCAGGGAAGAAGAAAUGACGGUACCUGACUAAGAAGCACCGGCUAAAUACGUG
rnacentral:rRNA from 1 species